UGGGCAUGCCUUAGUACGGCGAGUGAAGCGGCAAAAGCUCAAAUUUGAAAUCUGGUACCUUUGGUGCCCGAGUUGUAAUUUGGAGAGUACCACUUUGGGACUGUACUUUGCCUAUGUUCCUUGGAACAGGACGUCAUGGAGGGUGAGAAUCCCGUGUGGCGAGGGUGUCAGUUCUUUGUAAAGGGUGCUCGAAGAGUCGAGUUGUUUGGGAAUGCAGCUCUAAGUGGGUGGUAAAUUCCAUCUAAAGCUAAAUACAGGCGAGAGACCGAUAGCGAACAAGUACAGUGAUGGAAAGAUGAAAAGAACUUUGAAAAGAGAGUGAAAAAGUACGUGAAAUUGUUGAAAGGGAAGGGCAUUUGAUCAGACAUGGUGUUUUGCGCCCCUUGCCUCUCGUGGGCUUGGGACUCUCGCAGCUCACUGGGCCAGCAUCGGUUUUGGCGGCCGGAAAAAACCUAGGGAAUGUGGCUCUGCGCCUCGGUGUAGAGUGUUAUAGCCCUGGGGAAUACGGCCAGCCGGGACCGAGGACUGCGAUACUUGUUAUCUAGGAUGCUGGCAUAAUGGUUAUAUGCCGCCCGCAAAACCCCCGACGACGCAAAAAA
rnacentral:rRNA from 1 species